AUUGAACGCUGGCGGCAGGCCUAACACAUGCAAGUCGAGCGAGCGGCGGACGGGUGAGUAAUGUCUGGGAAACUGCCUGAUGGAGGGGGAUAACUACUGGAAACGGUAGCUAAUACCGCAUACCAUCAGAUGUGCCCAGAUGGGAUUAGCUAGUAGGUGGGGUAACGGCUCACCUAGGCGACGAUCCCUAACUGGUCUGAGAGGAUGACCAGACACACGGGAGUUGAGAAACGGACCAAGCUCAUACGGGAGUCAGCAGUGGGGAGUAUUGCACAAUGGGCGCAAGCCUGAUACAGCCAUGCCGCGUGUGUGAAGAAGGCCUUCGGGUUGUAAAGCACUUUCAGCGGGGAGGCGUUACCCGCAGAAGAAGCACCAGCUAACUCCGUGCCAGCAGCCGCGGUAAUAC
rnacentral:rRNA from 1 species